GACGAACCGUGCGAACGUUGUUCGGAUUCACUGGGCUUAAAGGGCGCGUAGGCGGGCGGUCAAGUCGGGGGUGAAAUCUUUCAGCUUAACUGGAAAAGUGCCUCCGAUACUGAUCGCCUCGAGGGAGGUAGGGGCAUGUGGAACUUCCGGUGGAGCGGUGAAAUGCGUAGAUAUCGGAAGGAACGCCGGUGGCGAAGCGACGUGCUGGACCUCUUCUGACGCUGGAGGCGCGAAAGCUAGGGGAGCAAACGGG
rnacentral:rRNA from 1 species